AGUGAACGCUGGCGGUAGGCCUAACACAUGCAAGUCGAACGGCAGCACAGUAAGAGCUUGCUCUUACGGGUGGCGAGUGGCGGACGGGUGAGGAAUACAUCGGAAUCUACUUUUUCGUGGGGGAUAACGUAGGGAAACUUACGCUAAUACCGCAUACGACCUACGGGUGAAAGCAGGGGAUCUUCGCACCUUGCGCGAUUGAAUGAGCCGAUGUCGGAUUAGCUAGUUGGCGGGGUAAAGGCCCACCAAGGCGACGAUCCGUAGCUGGUCUGAGAGGAUGAUCGGCCACACUGGAACUGAGACACGGUCCAGACUCCUACGGGAGGCAGCAGUGGGGAAUAUUGGACAAUGGGCGCAAGCCUGAUACAGCCAUACCGCGUGGGUGAAGAAGGCCUUCGGGUUGUAAAGCCCUUUUGUUGGGAAAGAAAAGCAGCAGGUUAAUACCCCGCUGUUCUGACGGUACCCAAAGAAUAAGCACCGGCUAACUUCGUG
rnacentral:rRNA from 1 species